UGGAGCUGAGUGCCGGCUGGUAUUGGUCCUUCAAGAUUAUUGUAUGCAACAGUAAAUGUAGACAAGAAAUGGAGAUUUGAUAGUGAUGAUGGGAUUUCGCCUGACAGACGGUUACUGUUGAGUUCUAAUCUCUCCAACUUUGGGAGGUUGGCUAUUUGGUCUGGAAUGUUGCCAGAGAAGUUGUUGAUGCUUAGAUCCAGUUGUUGAAGAAAUUGCAAUUGGCCGAUCUCAAAGGGUAUGCUGCCUCUUAAACUGUUGUUCCUGAGGGAGAUUACUCUUGGCAUGUUGGGCAGAUAUUUGUACUGUGAAGCCAGCACAGUUGCAUUAUUACCGCGUUGAAAGUAGACGGGCAACUCAAGAGAACAAUGGCCUGUUUCAUUCGCAGCCUUUUGCGAUACUAAUGCUUGUAGUCUGCAAAGCUCCUUUGGAAAUUCACCCGAAAUCAAGUUGUCAUUCAACAACAAAAAGAAAAGAUGCGGAAGAGUCCCCAACCAACCAGGUAUUGUGCCAGUGAGUCUGUUAAAAGACAAAUCCAGGACUUCCAGUUUCCCGAGCUUUGAAAUCCAUGCAGGUAUGUGUCCUGUCAUAUGACACAUAAGUAAACUGAAAACACACAGAUUUUGUAACCCGGAAUCGACAGUUAUAUCCCCAUCUGGCAUUUCUUCACCUUUAAAAUUUUUUGCAAGAAGGAGCACCUUGAGAGUUUUGAAACCCGUCAGUAUCUUCAUUGCCCCCGUGACAUUGGUGAGUCUGUUACGAGAAAGUGAGAGGAAGGUCAAGUUUUUCAAUUGAAGAAUCUCAGGUUGGAUUUGGCCCUCGAAAUCAUUUGUAGCCAGUCGAAGUGCUUUGAGGGACUUGCAUGAGUAGAGGCUUAUUGGCAAGGUACCAGUGAGAUUAUUACUUAUACAAUCUAGUUUACUAAGAUGAGUAAGUUUAGAGAAAUUGAGGGCAGAGAUAUUCCCACUAAAACGGUUGAAUCCCAGAUUUAUUUCAACAAGGUUUGUGCAAUUCAUCAGAGAUGAGGGCAGAUGACCUUCGAGAUUGUUGUAUUGAAGGCGCAUGAGCUUUAAUUUGGAGAGCUUCCCAACAUUCUUACUGAUGGGUCCCACAAGCCCAUUGGUAGAUAAUGAAAUUUCUUGAAGUGCCUGAGCAUUGUAGAUAUCAGUAGGGAGGGAUCCUGAGAGAGUAUUGUCGCCAGCACGAAAUACCUCCAACUCGGAACAGUUUCCAAGUCCGGGAGGAAUUGGGCCACUGAAAUUAUUGUGGGAGAAAUCCAAGACUCUAAGCGAGGAUGAACGAAGACAGGUAGAGGAAGGUAUUUGGCCUGUAAAGUGAUUAUUGCUGACAUUCAAACUGCUCAAAUUCCAGGCAUGCUGGAGGAAUGAAGAUGGAAUUGUUCCGUUGAAUUGAUUGCUUGAAAAAUCAACUAUUUGGAUGUAACUUGAUGAUAAAGACAUUGGUAUUUCUCCGGAGAAAAGGUUAUAGCUCAAAUCAAGAAUCUCAAGGCGACUCAAGGACAAGAACAUCCCGGCUUCAAGAGAGCCGGAAAGCAGAUUGUGGGAGAGAUUGAGGUGCGAAAGAAGCUUAAGGUUUCCAAGUGAUGAAGGAAAAGUACCUCCUGUGAGGCCCUUGGAUGGCAACCGCAAUUGGAUGAUCCAACCGUUCUGAUUACAUGUGAUGCCUUCCCACUGGCAACAAUCAACUGAAGCAGUCCAGUUCAAUGCCGGGGAAGACAGAGAGCUCGCAAAGGACUUGAGGGCGCUGCGUUCGGUUAGAUCACAUGCAUGUAUUGUGAAUAAAAUGGAAGAAAACAAGAGGAUGAGAAGGAAGCCAUGAGAGAAUGGAUGAUCCAUCUCAGGUUCAGAUUACUCACAGGUUUUCUUCUGCACUCGUAGAUAGGUAUGCAUAUAUGUCUGAAUCUGCAGAGUAUAUAUACACGUCUUCCGCUUGACUUCAAAGUCAUGACAAGAAAUUCCAUGUUGGUAAGACUCAUGACUUCAAAGUCGUUGAAAGAUUCUUUUAUCUCUUAGUCUUUGGAUUUAAAGGAAACAAAAAAAUUAGAAGGGACGGCUCUGCUUUUCUUUGAGGCUCUGUCUCUGUUUGUUUCUGCAUGACAAGAAAUUCCAUGUUAGUAAUAGUCAUGACAGCGAAGUGAAUAUAACAAGUGAUGCAUUAAUAAAGAAGAAUUGGUACAUUAUAAAUAAAUUAGGGUACAUAUAAAAGAUUAAAAAAUUAUGAGUACAAAUGAAAUUUUAAAAAAAUAUAGACACUAAAAGAAAUUAAUACAUGGGUACAAAAUAAAACUAAAAAGAAAAUACUACAAAUUUAAAAAAAAUGUUGCAAAUUAAAAGUGGGUACAAAUUAAAAAUAUAAAUAUAUGAUACAAAGUUUAGGCAUAAAACAUAAAUAUACCAUAUGUAAUUUUUCUAUCAUUAAUUAAAUAAACAAUGUCACGUGACAGUAUACACAUGGGUACAAACACAAAUAAAACUUUAAAAAAUAUGGACACAAAAAGAAACUAAUAUAUGGGUACAAAUUAAAAAUGAAAAAAAAAUUGGUACAAACUAAAAAUAAAAAUAUAUGAUAAAAAUUUAGCCAUAAAUAUAAAUAUACUAAUUGUAACAUUUUUAACACUAAAGGAAUAUAUUUAAAAAUAAAAAUAUUUUAUUAUUCAAAUAAUUAAUGAUAUUAUUAAUACUCUAGGACCUUGAUCAAAAAUUAAAAAUGAAUAAGAUUUUAAUUAAUGAAGUGAACCUAAUUUCUUUUAUAUUAUAUUAUAUAUUAUUUUAGUAGAUUUUGGGAAUUGAGGCAACGACUUCAAAGUCGUUGAAAGAUUCUGUAAUCUCUUAGUCUUUGGUUUGACUUUAGGCUGUAGCUUUCUUAGAUUUAAAGGAAACACCAAAGUUAGAAAGGACGACUGCUUUUCUUUGAGGCUCUGUCACUGUUUGUUUCUGCAUAAAUCAGCGAGCAAAAAUUCAUCAAAUUUGAUGUCGAUUAAAAUUUCAGGUUUUUGUUUUAGGUGAAGAGGAGCAAGAUUCAAACUUUUUCACCGAGUGGAGGUAAGUACCCUACCACUUGAUUUGCCCCACAAUUGUUUAUUUUUGUUUUUUGAUUUUUUGGGAAAAAGGAAUAUUAUGAUGUGAAAUAACCCUAAAUUAUGGAGACUUCUAGGUGAAAGACUGAUAAAUUUAUUGAAACGGGUUGAAGUUUCACCAUACAACUAAUUGACAAUAUGAGGAGUAACCUAACCUACUUAAUAUAAGAUUCAGUCUCAAUACUUACAAUUUUCACAUACAUCUUCCAUGUACUUUGUAUUAUUACUUGCACUAAUUUGAAAGCGGGACCCGUGAAGUAUCUGGUCAACGGCAGUGCAUUGAGGUCUUGGACGAAGACUCCGAUAGUGAUGCUAGGAUUCUGUCGGAUAGAUGAUUUCCGAGAGGUCUGAAUCGUCUCUCCAAGUUGGUGAGGCUGGAAUCUGGUAUGGAAUGAUGCCAAAGAAGUUGUCGUCGCUAAGAUCCAUUACAUAUGUAGAAGAUAAAUAAGUGUAGAAAAUGUAGAUAGACUUCAAAGCAUCAGUUGCACAACGGGGUCCAUACAAGGUUUUUGGAUUAUUCCUUUCCGACUUUGAUGACUUUAGAGACAGGGCAUCAAAGUUAUAGACAGUUCAUCAGCUUACUACUGAUCAAACAAAAUACUGAUCGCAUGUGCAAACCAAUAGUUGGGCCAAUCUGCAACUUUAGCGUUUUAAAUUCAUUCUUUCAAUUCGGGUAAAGACAAUCUAGUGCCCCAACUGAGGUUUUUAACUUUUUGAUGCAGGGCAUGCUUCAAUUGAGGUUUUAGAGACUGUUUAUUAGCUCACUACUAAUCGAACAUUGACAUUGACCACAUGUGCAAACCAAUAUAUAGUUGGGUUAACUUGAGACUUUAGCGUUUUAACAAAUUUAUUGUCCCAAUUAAGGAAGAGACAAUCUAGUGAGUCACUACUAAUGAACCGAGGUUUUCUAGGUUUUUGAUGUGAGACAUGGUUGGUUGAGGUUGAAAAUAAAAAUGUAAAUACUUGCAAAAAUCAAAUAUAACAAUUAAAACUCCCAUACUAUUGAAUCAUGCGUAGCAUAAAAGCCACACCGGUAAGACAUGUUUCAACUCGGGUUUUCAAAUCUUGCACUAAGAGAUAGUGAGCCCUGUUUUUCAAUUCAUAUUAAUUCACACGUCCCUUCUAUCGUUGUAGUUUUCACUAAAAAAGUAGGUUUAAAAGGUAGGUGGGUUUAAAUAUUUGUCCACAAUAUUUGAAAUUUGAAGUCUUUGCUUUCAUGUACACAAUAUAUUGACUGAAAAAUCAGUAGUAGUGAGUGAAAAUAGUUCACAUUAGAUGGCUUACAUACUUUUUUUUGGUAAAAAAGAAGGUUUUACAUACUUUGACAAUGAGUACCACAAUACUUGUAAUCACUAGACAGGUUUUUAGAUGCAAUCAAGUUAAGGAAAUUCGUGCAUAACGUAAAUAGGAGCCACUCAAUGAUAAUUUCUUGCAGUUUUCACUUUUAUUAAAAAAUGAAACUUAAUAUAGAUUUGGUAACUGUUUUUAGUUUUCAAAAAAUGAAAAUUGACAGUUAAUUUUUUGAGUUUUCAAAAUGGGAGGUGCAUAUUGUCACUUAGUAUUACGGUUUAAUGGUAUUUCUUUUCAUUUGUAAGUGAAACGUUUUAGAUUCAAUUCUCGCCAAAGGAGAAUUUGAAUCACAGUAUUACUACCACUAAACCGUAUUACUAAGUGACUAUUUCUAGCUAUUAGAUUGAAUAAACCAAACAGAAUCCACAACCAUAGUUAAACAUGAGUAUGUAAAUAGCUAAAUUGUGUGCAAUUGUCAAUUUCCUUCAAAAUUUGGCUUUUUUUUACUUGGUUUUUUUAAUUUAACUUUUUUGAAAAUUGAAAUGAUUAUCAAACAAGUAAGAAAAAAGUUUUCCAAAUUAAGAAGAGAAAUUAGAAAAUUUAACUGUCAGAUGACAACAACCAUUUCAACUGGAUUAGUCGAUACAGAUUAGAAUAAUUGUAAAAUCAUAUCAACAACUAUUUCAUUCAAAAUUCGUAACUGUGACUUUUGAUUUUUCAAUGAAUUUAUUUACCUAAACAAAAAGCAAUUACUGUUAAAUGCAGUAGUACUAGUACUUAAAUGGCCUACCAUGUUGAUUUGUUUCACAAUUAUAUGUCAGUCUUUUUCUUGACUUUAAAAGCCAAGCCACAAUAAUUAACUAGAAGAAAGCUUCACGCAAGAAUAUUGAGGCAUUAUCUUCAGGACUGUAGAGUCACACAUAUUGCUUCUUUUCUAUGUUGAUAUUUUCCUGAAUUCAAAGGUUUAUUAAAGUCUUAGAAUCUUGAUCGAGGUUAAAUUCAAAGGUUUAUUAAAGUCUUGAAUCAUGAUCGAGGUUUUAUACACUUUUGGAACGCAUGUUGAGAGUAUGAAUUUUACAUCGAGAAAAGAAGAGAUUUUGUAUGUGUUUAUAAGUAAUUAGACUACUCAUUAUAUUACCAAUUGGUUUUUAUAGUGAAACCUCAACUUUUUUUCAUAGCAUUCAGACAAGUUGUCUCUCGUGUGAAGCCCAACAACCGCAUGUACUCCGCAUCACCUGAUUUGUGCUAUUCACGUGUUAGACUUGAUAAUUCGCCACAUGUAGAAGAAGCUGAGAGUAUGAAUCCCACAUCGAGAAAAGAAUAGACUUUGCAUGUACUUAUAAGUAAUUAAACUAUUACCAAUUUAUUAUAGAACCUCAACUUUCUCCGAUGCAUGUCAUGUUAAUAAAUCACAAUACGACUAUUGGAAAAGAUACAAAAUCUCUGAAAAAUCUCCCAUGGAUAGGAAGGAGCUAUACCACAGGAUGUUCUGUUUCUUCGCCCUAAAGAAGUACGUACUCAAGUAGAGAUUUUGUACACUGUCUAGGAAUUGGAACUGCGUAAAUCUGCGGAUCUUAAACAUGAAAGAGCCAUAAACUCCGAAAAAUCCUGUGGUGAACCCAGGUGCGAAAGUGAAAUGAAACCAUGGAAUUGGAUUCCCAUUGUCCAAAUCUUGGCUGUUCUUAUAUCUGCACCAAGGCCAUCGCCAGUGCACCGCAAAGUUUCAAAUUCACCUCGAAGGCGGACGAAUUGAACCGCAAAGUACUGUAUGAUACAUUAAAAAUGACAAGAAAUUAAGGGUCUGUUUGGUAUCAUUUUUGAAAUUUUUUAUAAUUUCUCAAAACAUUUUUAAGAAUUUUUCUUGAAAAUAAUUUUCUUUAAGAUUCAAAAACUUGUUUGGUAUACGAUUUAAAAAUUUUAAAUCUUACAACUUAAAUUAGACAAAAAGAUCCAAAAGAGAGAAUCAAGAGAUAAAGAGGAGAGAAGAGGAAAGAAAGUAAGAGAUGAUUGGAGGAAAGAGAAAAAAGUGAGAGGAUCAGAGGAGAUAAGAAAGAGGACCAAGAAAAUGAAAAAAACGGAUUGAAUAAGAGACGAAAAAAGGAUUAAAAAAAAAAGAGAAUAGGGGAAGAGAGAAAGAAGAAAAGAGAGAGAUAGAUUUGGAGUGAGAGAGGAGGGGGAGAGAAAAGAAAUGAGUGAAUUUAAGUUUAAAAACUUUUUUAUCUUUGUAAAGAAUCAACUAUAUUUUUGAGUUAGUUUUGAAUUCAGUUUUUGAAAAUAGUCAUAUCAAACAAGUUUUUAAGGCCUAAAAUUUGAAAAUUACUUUUGAAUUUAAAAAAUUGGAUUCAAGUAGAGUACCAAACAAAAUCUAAGAACCGCCAAUGAUGCUGGGGUUUCUCCGGACAGAUGAUAUAUGGAGAGGACCAGUACUGUCUCCAAGUUUUGAGGCCAGAUAUAUAUUUGGUCUGGAAUGUAAUAGCAUUAAAUUAAUCCAACGCGUGGAGAAGCUGCAGUGGGCCAAUCUCAAUAAAUAUUUUGCCGGUAAAUCUAUUGUUCUGAAAGAAUAGCACUUCUGCAAGUUCUUCGCAAUAUAGUUUUGAUGUAAAGAAUUUGUACUAACAAUGAUGAUCAUGGGUAGUUCAAGACAUGUGGUCUGUUGAGCUUAAGUGAUUCCAGAUACCAACACUGGCAGCCUGCAAAGUUCCUUUAGAAAUCCUCCUGAAAUUCGGUCAAGAAGGGUCCCCAACCAACUCGGAAAUUGAGACUGAAAGAGGAUUUUACAAAUUCUAAUUGCUGAAAUAAUCAAAAUCACAUAACCACGACAUAUAUCAAUCAGAUAUGAUGACAUUAUGGAUCAAAUAUUUAAGAUAUAUUGAAAAAAUUCCGAAAAGUGAUCAUUAUGACAAUUGAGAUUUUGUAUUUUCAUCGUUUUUGUCAAUUUUCCUAGAAGUAAAGCUAUGGACAAAGAAGCAUGAGAAAGAUGAAAUUAUAUUACGCACAAUUUUGUCGGGCAAUGUUCGUCGCACAAACAUCAUCACUACAGAGUUUACUGAUGAAUAGUACAAAGUCGUCGAGCAAAUUGUGUUUACAUGAUGAAAUAAUUUCGUCGAGGAAAGGACGUUGACCUUUGCCCGACGAACCGUAAACCCAAAAUUAUAAAAUAUACGUACCUUUGCACAACGAACAAUUCAAUGAAACUUGUAUUAUUCGUUGCACAAUGGUUGCUAUAUUUACGCGCCAAGUUUUUUCCUUGGUGCAAAAACUUUACCCGAUGGAUGGAACUUUGCCCGUCGAACACUGUUCGUCAAGCAAAAGCCUCUAAAUAACCAAAACGUUACUGUUUUUGGCAACCGAAUAUAUGAAUUCCAACGAUUAAAGUUUAUUUACAAAAUUCCUUUCAUCGGGAAAUGGUAAUUUCUAGCUGUGAAAGUGAGAGGGGCUUUAUGCCAUCAAAUUAUUAUAGGCAAAACUAUUAACAAACAAUAAUCGUAUUUCUUAAUUUGCCAUCGCGGGGAACUUAUCUUUAACAUUGCUCAGAAAUAGGAAAUAUGCAUCUCUCCAAGACCUAAUAAACACUAAAGAAUCAGACUCCCCAAAAUCCGAAAAUAAAACCAACAAUCACGGAAAAAUGAAACCAGUCUGCACAUCUUUAGUGUCAUUACUUGUAUACAUCUGUUGGCAUUUGUUUGGAAGUGGGGCACCACAAAGUCCUUGGUUCCCCUCGAAUGCAGUGGCAUUCAAACCUUCGAUUUGAGUGCCGGAUGGUAUUAUUCCUUUGUUGUAAGCAACCGUAAAUGAAGACAAGAAGUGGAGACUUGAUAUUGAUGCUGGGAUUUCUCCUGACAGAUUUAGUGAUGGUUUGAAUUCUUGUGAGCGGUGUUUGAGCUUUGAAGUCUUUGCUUUCCACUUAAACAGAAAAGAAACAAACCUGCAGAACAUGGGUUGGCAACGUAUUACAAGGUUUACAUUGACUUUGGGUGCGUGCUUUCGGAAAAGUGAUGUGGGCAUAUUUUCAUACAUUAUUAUCGUAUUUUCUUUUUUGGAAUUUGUGUAAAUACAUUAAAUUUAAUUGUUUUAAUAUAUAGACUUCAAUAUCGGAGUUGUGAGAAAAGGAUGAAGAUCGGAUCAUUUUUGUGGGGAUUUUAUGGAUUCUCAAAUCUUAAUCAUUUAUCGUACAUCGUACGGUCAGUUUACUAUUUGUGUUUAAUUUAGAUAAAAAAAUUCAAAUGAUUAUGAUCAUACAAUAUACGAUGAAUGACUAAGAUGCGAGGAUCCCUAGGAUCCCCACCAUUGGAUCCAGAUGGGAUCCAAAUCCGUGCGAAAAAGAAGUGGAAAAUGAUGAUUUCAGGUGUCUAAAGUAAUUCAGCUGAGCAUGAGGCUAAUUAAUUGUGCCAAGACAUAUGUAUUACAAUAUGAAGAUGAGACCACAAAGAUUUUUUUUUUUCAUCAACGACUACAAAGGUUUUGAAUAUACAUGGAAAUGCUAUUCAAUGGAUUUAAGAAGAGACAUGAUUAUUUGUUCUUAUUAUUUCCGUUUAUUUUCUUUUUAUUUAACAAAGACUUAAAGUCCAAUAGUUAGAAUUUUAGUGGGUUUUUCAUUAGAAUUUAGUAGGAUUUAUUUUUAUUGCCGUGGGUUAUAAAAAGAGAUAUUCUUUGUGGUAACGGGAUUCAACCAAAUCAAAAUUAUCACAUUGGAGAAGGUUGCGGCAAGGAGGAAGAAAGCUAGAUUUUUUUUUAUAUAUCUUUUCUAGGGCUUCGAUAUAGUUUGAUCAUGAAUACUUAAUUACCUUGUGUCAUUGUUUUAUCAAAUUUUUAUUUCAUAUUGAAUAUCUUUCGCUAUUCGUAAUGCGCUCAAUUUUUAUUUGAGAAAAUUGUAGUAAACGUCACUCAACUUUAAUCCAAUUGGAGUAACGGUCCUUGAACUAAAAAUCCAUGACCAUUGAUCCCUUAACUCCUUAAAACGUGCCCCUAUGAUUGAUGGUCGAUACUAUACUAUAUAUUUUACCCUAAUCUUAGUAAUAAUUUAUUGGUUAUUAUGUGAAUUUUCUUACUUUGAAUUAUAUUCUAAUGUAGGACAUUCGACUUCCGUGGUGAUGAAAUGAAGGGCCAGCGCACAGCUUUCCCAGAUUGACGUUUCUAGACGUUUUGGGUAUUUUGGAGGUUAAGAUGACAUAUUUUGAAGAAGAUUUCUUCUGAGGAUUUGUAGGGGACGUCUCCACCUUUCAAAAGAGACCUUUUGGGACUAAAUCGGAGUUGAUUUGGUCAGUCAAAAGACUAAUUUUUCUGAGAAAUCCGAAUUUUAGUUCAAAUAGGAAACCUUUAAUUUCUGUUUUAUUAUUUUUAUUAUGUUUCCUAGUUUUAUUUUAAGACCUUUUAGGGUUUUAUUGUGUAGUAGUAUAAAUAAGGCUUUUUAGCCAUUAGGGUUUUUUAGAAUGCAAGAAGGAGAGGGGGAGAAGGCAUGCAUUAUUUUGGAGAACUUCAGACUUUUUACCUGCAAGGUGUUUUCAAUCCUUUUUCUAGUUAAUAUAUUUUAUUUUGUUUUAUGAUUGUUCAUAACUAAGUUCUUUUGCUAGGAUGAAGUCAUGAGCCUUAGCAUGAAUAUGUAAUUUUAUUAAUUUGCUUAUGAAUGAAUGCAUGCUUGCUUUGAAUUAUUAAUCAAUGCGAUUAAAACUAUCUAAUUGUCUUAGUGAUUCGUGACCAUUAGGGUUUUUAGACAAGUAAUUUGAUGCAAUUUUUGUUGGAACAUCACCCUGAAAUUGAGAAGGGCUUCUUGUGAUUAGUAAUUUUAAGUUCACUUAAGGCGAACAUCACACUCUUAAGGGUUGCAUGGUUUUUCAAAGGGUUUUCACAAAGCCUAAUAAGUCUUACAUGUUUAUAUUUGAUCUGAACAUCACAAACGGGCUGCAUGUUAGAUAUACGUUUUCACUUGAACAUCAUGAGGAAAAUAUGCAUUAUGAAAACCUUACCUUCAAAGCAUGUGUGUUGAAAUUCAUAAGUAAUUGGUAAAUUUGCGUAGGAUUGUUAAGGGGACGGUAGAACCCUAGGCUUUUACAAAUUGAUUUUCUUUUAAAUUGUUCUCUAGUUAAUUUCUUUAAUUGUUUUAUUUUAAAAUUCGUUUUUAUUAUAUUAAAUUCUAAAAUCAACAUUUUCCAACCUUUGUUUUAAAUAAUUAGCUAAGAAUUAGUUUAAAUACAAAUUAUUCAUUCAAUCCCUGUGGAAAACGACAUUGCUUGAGCCGCUAUAGUACGACAACCUUGCACUCUUGCAAGUAUUUUAAGUGUUUUUAUCUCUACUUUUGUAGGUGGUAAAAAUCCCUAUCAAUGAUCAUUUUCUUCAAUUCCUUUAGAACUCUCGUCAAAAUGAGUCACGUGCCACGCACAUGAGGCCGAAUCGAGGGGCAAAUAUGGUACACAAAAUGAGAAAAUUCUAACAAUGAUCCCUCAACUUUAACCCAACUGGAAAAAUGGUCUCUCAAUUUUAAUACAAGUUAUUGUUGUUUUGAUCACCAUCUAAGUUUUAGUUAAGUUGUUUUGAUGCAAGUUAGAGUAGAUGUCAUACUUAACUUGGGUUUAGCUUCUUGCAAUUGAUACCAUAAACACAGAUAUGCCAACUUGGGUUUAGCUUCUUGCAAUUGAUACCAUAAACACAGAUAUGCCAUGCAAUUAGGGUUUAUGUGAUUUUCAAGCACUUUCCAUAGAGAUUAAUGAGUUCUUACUUGUUUAAAUUCAUCUAGAUGCCAUAGAGGGUUAACAUAUUAAGAUACUUUUGAUGCAACCAAAUGCCAUGACUGUUGAUUAUUGGGAAACUACUUGAGCAUAACAUAUUAAGGGAAUUAAGUAGAAUUGGUUAUGGUGAAUUUGAAUGCCCUCUGUUGAUGCACAAAACCGGAGCGGUUUUGGAACAACGUAAAUCCGACCGUGAAUCUGCACAAACGCUCAAGAACACGAAGAACACAAAGAACACAAGGAUUUUAUCGUGGUUCACCCCAAUGUUUGGGCUACGUCCACACUGUAGUUGAUUCUGUUUCUCUGUAAUUGUAUGGAUACAAGUGUUUGAGAGGAAGUCCCCCAGAGAAAGAAGAGAAGGGAGAGGAGAGCCUCGGUGGUGUGAGGUCUCUCCUGAAUGUAAUGAGAGCUUCUCUUAGCCUUCUUAGGCUUGGCUCUUUUGCCCCCUUUUAGAAUGAGGGGAGGAGUCCCCUUUUAUAGAAUAAGGGGCUCCUCCUCUUUUACAAAGUAUGGGCUUUAGUGUGAGGCCCAAAUACAAGGCCCAAGGCCCAAAUAUACGAGGCCCUAAAUAUGGUAUAAACAGUAGUCCCCCAAGUCUUCAGUCAAGAGAGUCUUUUGGCUGGAGACUUGAAAUUCAGUCCAUGUGUGGGCCGAAGUAACUAAAUGUCGUCUAGAACUGAUGCUCGAUAUGAGGCGGUACCCAAUCUGAAAUGAUGCUCAACUAGAAGUAGCACAUGUUGUGAGGCCACUUUGCUUGUAGCUUAUGUUGCCUUGGUUGGCUUGGCUUGUGGCGUUUGAAGGUGAGGGAGUCCCUUUUAUAAAAUAAGGGCUCGCUCCUCAAUACAUAAAUGAUGGGCUAGAGUUGAUGCUCACGGCGAGGCGGUUGCUCAGCAGGCGGCGAUGCUCUCUAAUGAUGGUGAGGGAGUCUUUUUUAUAAACUAAGGGCUCGCUCCUCGAUACAUAAAUUUAGGAGUGAUGCUCGUGGCGAGGUGGUUGCUCAGCUGGCGGCAAUACUCUCUAAUGGUGGUGAGGGAGUCCCUUUUAUAAAAUAAGGGCUCGCUCCUCAAUACAUAAGUGAUGGGCUAAGUCCCCCAAGUAUUUUUCAUGAGGCCCAGUUGAGGCCCAAUAUAUGGUACAUAAUGUAGUCCCCCAAGUCUUCGGUCAAUAGAGUCUGUUGGCUGGAGACUUCAAAUUGAAUCCAUGUAUGGGCCGAAGUGGCGGUUGUUCGGAGGCGGUAUUUGUAUACCCUGCACUGAAGCUUUGUAGGUGAAGCUUUGCAAGUGAAGCUUUGAAGCUAGAGCUCUGUAAAUGAAGCUUUUGAAGCUGAUUGACAUGAGUGAUGCUCAUGAAUGUUUAUGUUGAUUGACAUGAGUGAUGCUCAUGGAUGUUGUUAUGAGUGAUGCUCAUGAAUGUUGACAUGAGUGAUGCUCAUGAAUGUUUAUAUAUGAUUGAUAUGAGUGAUGCUCAUGAAUGUCUAUGUAUGAAUGACAUGAGUAAUGCUCAUGUAUAAUUUGGAGUACUAGGCGUACUUUUGAUCACCUGGUUGGUGGCAUGAAGGAGAGUACGGGUUGUACAUUUCAUCACCUGGUUGGUGGCAUGAAUGGCUAGUUGCCAAAUUAGAGUACGAGUUGUACAUCUCAUCACCUGGUUGGUGGCAUGAAUGGCUAGUUGCCAAAUAGAGCACGGGUUGUACAUCUCAUCAUCUGGUUGGUGGCAUGAAUGGCUAGUUGCCAAAUGAUAUUAGAGUACGGGUUGUACAUUUCAUCACCUAGUUGGUGGCAUGAAUGGCUAGUUGCCAAAUGAUAUUAGAGUACGGGUUGUACAUUUCAUCACCUAGUUGGUGGUAAUAGCGGCGGGUUGCCGAAUAAUUUUUUUAGAAGUACUGGGCGUACUUUUGAUCACCUGGUUGGUGGCAUGAAGGAAAGUACGGGUUGUACAUUUCAUCACCUGGUUGGUGGCAUAAAUGGCUAGUUGCCAAAUUAGAGUACGGGUUGUACAUUUCAUCCCCUGGUUGGUGGCUUAAAUGGCUUAUGGGCCUUCGCUCUCCACCACAUGCCAGCCUUUUUUUUUAUUUUUUUUUUAUUUUUUAUUUUUUAUUUUUUUUAUUACUACCCUCUGAUGGGGUUUAUACAAAUGUUUCCGAAAGAUACGAAAAAUAGAUUACAUCAUUCAAAAAUAAGGAAAGUAAACCACAUCACUCUGAUGGGGUGUUUAUUCCUUGCUUUUGCAGUACGGGUCCUUGCUGUUGCUUGUGUUUUUCUACAACAUUCUCUCUGUUUCUGUCUUUGCGUUGCCAGAGAUUUGGCUUCCACUUGGUGACGUUGUUCCUUUCUGCUUUGGAAAGUAGACAGCUCCUGUUUGUAAAAGCAAGAAGAUACCGUUUGUAAAAGCAUCUUUUCCUUUUGCUUUUUUUUUUUUUCACUUUGUUUCCCACUACUUUGCUCUUUUGCUUUUUGUGCUGUCAUCUGCUGCUGGGGAUCUGAAAGUGUUAUGCAGUGGGCAUCUUCUCAAUGGGAGUGACAAAGCAUCAUCGUGGCCUUGUUGUGCCAUCAUCGUCACAGCAGUGCUUUACAGUAAUGGCUCUAGCUAAAGCAUCAAGGUCUUCAAGCAGUUUCCCAAUUCUGACCUCAUUCCAAGGAUCCCUGUAAUGCUCCCGCAAUAUAUAAUCCGUCGAAAAAUUGCACAGAAACUUGACCCGGACCUCUCCAGCCUGCGGCGGAGCCACCUGUACGUCUUCGAUCACCAAAGGCUUAUCGGGUUCCCAGGCCAUCGCUGCUUUGUUGGUGACGACUUGACCUUGGGUAACCAUGGAUUUGAAUCUACUUGUCGAGCUCCUGCCAUUUAUUGAGAAUCUGGGUGCAGCCUGACAAGGCUUCGGUCCUCAUGAAACCCAUAGCAUUGGCAAACCGGCUGUACGAAGCAAUACCAUUGUUGGCGGUGAGGAUGACACAUGCAUACCAUUAUUGGCGGUGAGGAUGAUCUUCCAUGGUUUGUUCACCAUUUUCUGAGGUUUGUGAAGCUCACUCACUGUGUGUUGAUCAUGGUGCGUACGGGAUUCGGCAAGGUCGCCUACUAUUUUCUUCACGGAGGCGGAUGAGGCCAUGGCUUGCCUUAGAAAAACCACUGGCCCAGGUGGAGGCCCGUUUUGAGCUUUAUCAGCACAUUUGUUUUCUCUUUCUCUAAAAGCUGUGUAGGUGAUUUCCGACACGGGAAGGGAGGAAGGAAGGGUUGCAGUGUGCGUUCAAGGAGAGUCCAAGAGAAGUAGAGAGAGAACUGCGGUGGGCUCACGGUAUCCGAAUGUCACCACUUUGCUGCUGCCUUUCCGUUGCUAUCGGCCGAGACGAGUGUGAACGUUGUUAUCUGGGCUCAUGGAUGGGACUCUCGCUGGGCAGAGAGGAACAAGGAGCAGCCGUCUGGACCUUGGGGGAGUCGACAGCAGCAGGGAGCGGAGAGCGUCUCUCUUGCUGCUCUCAUGAUCUCCGGCUGAGCCGCAAGUGGGAACUGCCGUGCCAUGCUCGGGUCGCUGCUGCUGGGACCCGGUUCUCCUCCGCUCGGGCCGGCUUGCUGCUUUAAAUCUGACGGGGGUAGGUGGCAUGGAUGGUGCUGGUGGCAGCUACUGGGUUUGCUGAAUCGGGUCAAUAACUGGGGAAGAGACAAUGGUUUCUUCACAAUCUGAGGAGAAUAAGCCAUUGUUGGAGUCGAUUCUUCUGUUAUCUUCCUUCUUUUCUUUUUUCAUUUGCUCUUUCUCUUUCAAUCUUUUGUAAUGAAGCUUUUCAGAACCUCUCUGACAAGUUACCAAUUUGACAAGGCUGUUUGUUUUUCUCCAUCUCUAGUUUUCAGAUCUAGGAAGUAGUAGUUGCAGAGAGAUUAAUUGUGAAUUAGAGAGAGAGAGAGAGAGAAAGAGAGAGAGUGAAGGGAGGAGACAGAGAUUUGGAUCUUUCUGGGUUUUUGUGAUUUUUCUGCUUUCUGGGUUUUGUAGAGAGAGAGAGAGAGAGAGAUAAGAAAGAGUUUGAGAGGUAGAGGCAGAUGCAGAGUCUGAAACCAGAGGCUCAAUGGAUCUGCUGGAGCACCAAUUCCUCCAGAGCACGGUGCUGAUCUUCCAACGACAGCGAGAAGUUACUCAAGUCGUCAAUCGCAAUCUGCAUCAGCUGCGCGUUCGAAGGCUUCUUCAGCUCGUCCAUGAGCUGCUUUAUCUCUAGCCGGCGGUCGUUUAGGUCGGCAGGAGACAAUCGCUCGACAUCUCGCGCCUUCUCUUUCAAUUGGACGGGAUCAGAGUGACCAAUGGCCCAUUGUGAUCGGAGUGGCCUAUGGCCCACUAUAACAUUCGCUCAAGAGAAGAGAAGCCACCGUCGGCGUCAAGGUCAGCGAUGGCGGUAUCGUCAUCCCGAGGCUGAGUCCGAGUCUAAGCCUGCGUCUCGUCUUCUGCACUGGACCACUAUACCCUUUCCGUAUUGUUAAUAUUUCGCUCCAAGGAACAACAAUCAUGGCACACUUUGCUAGGAGUAAGGUUUUGGGUUCUUGCAGAUUUUGCAGAUUCACGGUGGAGGUGAAAAAAUGAAAGAGAACCGACAUAGUUUUUCGUGUCGAUUCCCACAGACGGCGCCAAAUGUUGAUGCACAAAACCAGAGCGGUUUUGGAACAACGUAAAUCCGACCGUGAAUCUGCACAAACGCUCAAGAACACGAAGAACACAAAGAACACAAGGAUUUUAUCGUGGUUCACCCCAAUGUUUGGGCUACGUCCACACUGUAGUUGAUUCUGUUUCUCUGUAAUUGUAUGGAUACAAGUGUUUGAGAGGAAGUCCCCCAGAGAAAGAAGAGAAGGGAGAGGAGAGCCUCGGUGGUGUGAGGUCUCUCCUGAAUGUAAUGAGAGCUUCUCUUAGCCUUCUUAGGCUUGGCUCUUUUGCCCCCUUUUAGAAUGAGGGGAGGAGUCCCCUUUUAUAGAAUAAGGGGCUCCUCCUCUUUUACAAAGUAUGGGCUUUAGUGUGAGGCCCAAAUACAAGGCCCAAGGCCCAAAUAUACGAGGCCCUAAAUAUGGUAUAAACACCCUCGAUCUUAUUUUCUUAUGUUUUCAAUCUAUUAUUUCUAUGCAUUUUAUUUUCAAGCUUUGUUUUAUUUCAAUUUAAUUCAAAUAUCAUAUCUUUUCCGUUGAAGCUUCUCCAUUAUAUUAGUUUCAAUUUAGUUAGUAAGAAUUUUAGAAUCAAUUCGAUCUUUGUGGAAGGAUAUAUGUGCUUAUAUGCUAUACUAUCAUAUGAUUUGUAUAUUUGCGAGCACUAAAAUCCGAGACAUAAUGGGGUUAGUUUUGGUUGUCUAAUUUUCGCAAAAAAAAAAAAAAAAAAAACUAAAAACACGUUUGCCAUAAAAUAUGGUUGUUUGAUAAAAGUGCUUCGAGUAGAAAGUGUUAUGAACUAACAGAUGAAUAAUUAUAUAGUUAAAAAUAAGAACUAUAAGAACGUAUUACAUGGUUUAAAUGGACUUUGGGUUCGUGCUUUCAGAAAAGCUAAAAACACUUUUGUCGUAAAAAAUGGUUGUUUGAUAAAAGUGCUUCAAGGAGAAAGUGUUAUGAACUAACAGAUGAAUAAUUACAUAGUUAAAAAUAAGAAGUAUAAGUGACACGCCCCGACCCUGAUAUUCCCUGAAUACCAGGAUAGACACGUGUUGGCCGACACCCGAGAGUGACGAAAGCCAUUAAUUGAUACAAAAGCUAAGAAUAAGAAAUAAAUACGGAUUAUGAAUUUAAAAAGAAUGAAUUAACAAUUUAGGAACGUGUUCAGAGCAUACAACUAAACCUAGUCACUAACAAGAAUUAAGAUAAGAUUGAAUGAACAAGGAGUAGGUCCUACCCCGAGAAGACUCGAAGAUGCUGCUGCGGAAGUGCCUUGAUGCCGGGAUUCUAUGCCUCGUUUCUAAGACCUGAAUGGGGGCGCAAAAUAAGAGUGAGUGGACCAAGUUUAUAUACAUACAUAGUACGAAAACAGUUAUGAACAUACUAAUCCCCACAGUUAAGAUAAUGAAAACUACUAAAUAAUAAGUGAUAGGUUUCUCAAAACCUCUAGCAUGCCAUAAAAACAAUUCAUAUAUCCAUCUGCAAAUCAAUCUCAGAAAAUCAUAUCAUAAAUCAUCUCAGCAAUCAUAUCAGGAAGCAUAAUACAAGUUGUGCUGCUAGUGAGUGCACUGAAUAAUAAUACGCCCGGCCCAAUGCCUGCACCUCAGUCUCUGUGCCCGUAGCCAGAGAUAUCUCCCUCCCGGCCCAAUGCUUGUCUCCGUGUCCCUCAGCCUUUCGCUAGGGAUUAUUUCUCCCGGCCUCAAUGCCAACACCAGAUCCUCGCCCCAGGCGGCAUAGUGUUCACUAGGUACGCACAAAACAUAAUUCAUCUCUAAAAUACAACUUCGUAGCAUAAAUUCAUCGAUCCUCUAUACUACGAAGAGGUGUUCAACAAUCAUUUGAAACACAUUCUUAGCAUCCUAUCGUCAUCAAUCAGAUAGUCUACCAGAAUGAGGGUUCUAUAGAAAAUACAAUAUAAUGACAAUAGUUCAAAAUAUAUAUAAUCAAUCAUAAUUAAAUCAUCAUGCUUCCUGUAAGGUAUUCCUCAAAUCAAAUAAUUCUGCAAGGCAUGCUAUUAAAUUAUGCAAUUCUAUCAAUAAAACAUGCAAUUUUCGAAGGUGGUCCACUCACAGAUACUUCGAAGCAGCAGAAUUCUGUGGAAAAAGAUUAAGGAAGUCUCCACUAGCAACUUCACAUAAGCACGAAAAUAUACAAUUUAAUCAAACUACCCAAACGAUAGAAUUUUAGGAAAUGGAAAUGGGUCUUGGGUUGAGAAGGGUGGUUUGGGCUUAAACCCAAACCCACACUCACACACACGUACUGUACACACACACAGGGCCUGCACACACACACUGUGCAGCCCAAAACACACCCACACACUUCAUGCACAUGCACGGACACACACACACACACAACCCACACACAUGUACGCCAGCACACGUGUCACAUGCAUGCACAUCACACCAUACACAUCACACAACACACACACUGUACGGACACCAACAUGCCAAACACACACACACAGACAGCAUGCAUAUAUAUAUAUAAACACACACACACAGACAGCAUGCAUAUAUAUAUAUAGGGGUUUCUCCAUUUUAAUCCUUAAUAAAGAUUGAAAUUCAAUUAAAACCUUAUGUUAGAUUAUAUAUUCAUUAUAGUCCUUUGACUAAAUUUCCAUGUCAGCAUAAAUAUUAAAAUUUAUAUUUUCUUGUUUUUAAAUAUUUAAUGCGUUUUUUUGGUUCCUAUAAUGCCCCUAUUAAAUAUUUGAUUUUAAUUUGCUCCAUAUUUUUUGCAUUGAUUAUUGUCUGACUUUCUAAAAUGAUAAACAUAAUUCAAAAAAAUAUUAGUGAUACAUUACAAGAAUUAACAAAUACCUAAUUCAAAUUAUUCAUUAUCACCAUUCAAAGCCUAGAGGAAAUAUAAAUAGCCAAAUCAUAUAUUUUACAUAAUCGAAUGCACUUAAACCAUGUCCUAAUGUGCUUAAAUCAUAUAACCUAGUCGAAUGCACCUAAACCAUGGUACUUAUAUGAAUGCACCUAAAUUAUGGUACUUAUAUGAAUGCACCUAAACCAUUACCUAUGGUCUUGUAUAUGAAUGCACCUAAAUCAUGGUACCUAUAUGAAUGCACCUAAAUCAUAGUACCUAUAUGAAUGCACCUUAAUCAUUUAGGUACUAUCAAUUAGGUCUUAUCCAUUCGGUAUGGUCGGUUAGGUACUAUAUAGUGUAUGUCCGAUUAAUUUGGUACGGUCAAUUAAGUUGUGAUUUCACAUUCUAUUUUCUCAAUUUGUAUUUUUUUUCAUUUAUCUCUGGAUUCACCGUCAAUUUGGCAUCUAAAAGCCCAUUUUUCUUCUUUCUUCCGAAUACAACGAGAUUUUUGGUUUGUAAGUUUUAUGGCUUUUUUGUUUGAUCAUGGUUUCUGAGUUUUCUGGGUUCUUUGAUUGGAAUAACACAUGGAGAUUUAUGUUAUAACAAACAUGUUAAUUAUGGAUCUAGUUAAUUAAGCAUUCUUGAAAAAUUAAUUAUAUAUUUGUUUCUCUAAUUGGUUUUAAGAGAGUAAUAAGGGUAAAUAGGGAAACUAAAAAAUGCAAAUAAAUUUAUUAAAAAAUGAUUGAAUGUGACAUGGAAUUACUAUAAUCUGACAUGGAGGACUAUUUUUAGUUUUUAAUCUUACAUACGGUAUUAUUGAAAAAGUAAUCUUAUUUAGGGAUUAAAAUGAAGUUUUCUAAUAUAUAUAUACACCUACAUAUAAACACACACGCAUGCACAGCAUGCAUAUAUAUAUAUACACACAUAUAUAAACACACACACAGCAUGCAUAUAUAUAUAUAAUCCCACACACGCACAGCAUCAUGCAUAUAUAUAUAUAUAUAUAUAUAUAUAUAUAUAUAUAUAUAUAUAUAUAUAUAUAUAUAUAUAUAAUCACACACACGCACAGCAUGCAUACACACACAGCAUGCACCGUACCACACACACACUCUUGAACACACACACACACCUACGAACUCGCCGGAGUUCGUCGUCGGAACCGGGUUUUUGGCAUAGAGAAAAGGUAAGGUCAAAACCCUCGAUUUUGACCUUAAAACCAACACAAAUAACAUGAUUAACCCCAGAAAUUUGAAGAAAGAAAACAAGUAUCACCUGGGUUCGAAUUUGAGAGCUUCAAAGCUCACGGCAUCAAUGGUGAUUCACUUCACAAUGCCCCGAUGAUGCAUGCAAGACCAUAAUCUUGUUCCCCGAGUCCCAUAGGUUUAGAAUAUCAAGAUUUGGGGUUGAAUUGUGAAGAAAAUGGCACUGGUGGUGGCUGGGUUCUUUCUCGGCACCGGAGAGAAGGGAAAGAAAAGGAACGGAGAGAAUAAGAGGAAUGAAAACUGAGAGGGAAAAAUAGAGAACUUGGGGGAACAACAUUCAGGAGUGGGCCCCACGGUUCACCAUUUAAUAUAAAAAAACAAGUUUUUAAAUAGAAAUGGGUGAGGUGUUACAACUUACAAUAAGAACGUAGAAGGUUUACAUUGACUUUGGUUUCGUGCUUUUGGAAAUGUUAAAGAUACUUUUGUUGUAAAAAAUGGUUGUUUGAUAAAAAUGCUUCGAGUAGAAAGCAUUAUGAACUAACAAAUGACUAAUUACAAAAAAAGCAUAAGUGUUACGUGAAAGGGACUUAUAAGUCAAGGUUAUGUGCUCGAUUUUUCUUCUUUAAAUGCUAUUUAUAUAAAAAAAAAAAUGGCACAGUUAUGCGCAAUAAUUAUUUAGUAUAGAAUUUCGUAGACCUACCAUGCAUGAUUUAUUACACUACUAUGUAUUUUUUUUUCUUGAGAAAUGCUAAGGGACUCUUUCAAAAGUAGAAAUCUUCAUUGACUAUAUGUCACUUCAUGUUUUUUACACAAUAUUUUAUAAUGAUGACACAUAAAUUAACGUUAAACUAUGAGGUUACAAAAAGAAUUCCGUAGCAUUUCUCUUUUCUUUUUUUCUUUUUUCUUUUUGUCUUUUGACUUUGAAAUUUCAAUGAUAUAACAAUUAACACAAAGAAUGCUACAAUUUUGCAGAUGGACACAUGGCCACUUAUCUAAGUUGAUUCCCAAUGGUUCAAUUAAGUCAUGAGCAAGGGAAACCAAUGGAGAAUUUUAUUUUCUUUUUGGUUGGGUAAGAUGCUUUAUUCAAAUCAACGAUCCAAAUUGUUUAUUUAUUUAGUCUUCAUUUAUAAAUUAUUUUUGCAAAAAGAACAAUUUAAUUCGAAACUAUUUACCUUUUUGAUUGUUGUGAUGAAAUUUUAAUAUUUCUUAGAACAUAAUGUUCGUUAAUUUUUUUGAACUCAAUACAUGUCUCAAACAUUUUCGUCAUGCAUAAUAUUUUUUUAAGGAUGAUGAAACGCAACUUGAAAAAAUAGACAGUUCGAAUAGUUAAAGUUUGAUGUGAAAUAGGGCCCCGAACUAGUCUCUAUUUUUAUAAAAAAAAAUGGAGAUCUUUUUGAAUAAAGGGUCUAUUUAUAUAAAACAGAAGAAACACGCACAUCUCUUUAGUCCCAUAUCCAAAUGCAUAAAACGCUUCAUAUUCCUAUUCUUCUUUAUCCAAGUCAAGCUGAUCCGGCUUAAUCCAAGUCAAGCUAAAAAGGUGAACACAAACGGAGCCAAGAGUCUCUCAGGCUAAAAAGGUGAACAUAAAACGCUUCAUAUUGCUUCAGACCCUCAUUUCUUAAAAAAAAAAAAAGAAAACCCGGACAAAACCUCUCUCGACAUACCCUCGAGACACCAUCAAACUGUAGACCCAGACAUUUGUUUGCCAAAAAUUUCAACAGAAAAAAACUGUUACGUUGCAUGCAUGUAUUUGUAGACGAUCAAGCUGCAUUUACAUGUUUCUUCCUUAAUGUGCUAUCUUACGCUCACAAGAUAAUUGCAAGUUAAACUUUCCGAAAAGAGAUUGCAGAUAAACUGUUUGAUGAAAUCCCUGAACCGUUUUCUUUCCCAACAAUGGCCAAUUUGCAGGGUUAGGAACUUAGGUGCCACUGUAACACAUUUCCUGAACCGCCUCCUCUUGUGAAAGUUGGAGCUCUGUGAUUUUCGGCUUCUGCUCGUGCUGGGAUUCGUUCGACGACUUCCGACUUUCAACCCGUGCAAACUAGAAGUAGUAAGUGAAAACCCAACUUAAACUAGUUUUUUUUUUGUUUUACUUUCGGAAAAAAUACAAACCCUUCUUAAUGAUUCUGCAUAUACACAGAUUUUGAUGUGUAGUGUCAAAUUCAGUCAGGUCCCUUUUGUUAGUUUCAGUUUUCUUCUUAACCAAACUGAUUGGGCAAGUUUAUGAAAAUCGAGGAGAUUUUCACGGAUAGUUUGAUUCGUUAUGUGACAUACCUUUUUGUGGUUAAACAUAUAUGAUGUAUACUCUUAGGCUUUAUUCACGUGUAAAAUCUUCUAAUAUGUUAUGUUAUCAAACUUCCAUCAUAGUUUCAGCUGAUGAUUGAUAGUUUGGUCCAUAAUUUUGCUCUAAACAAAGAGAAAAUAAAUAAAAGAGCUAUUCAACUUACAAUCCGAUUAGGGAAUGAACAUCCGACUCUUAAAUAUAUAUUUUGCACUAGAGAAUUUCUGGCUCAAUCCUUACACAUUAAUAUUUCUUCAUCUUCUGGGCAGCGAGCAUUAACCGGAACAUUGAAGAGAGAGGUGGUUUGGAAGUUGUCAGGCACCAUGAAAGAGUUACUGUUGUUUGCAUAUUCUGACCGAUUUGUACUCUCAGUUUCACUAUCCGGUUUGCUGCUUUUAACUUCAUCCUUUUGAUUUGGGACUUGGACUUGGCCUUGGGCCUUCCUGUUAAGAAGAAGAACAAGAAUUAGGAAUUGUAAACAAAUCGAAAAAAGAAAAAAUGAAUACAAAAUCUAGAUUCUAGAACUCUACCUUCUUCUAAGCCUUCUCCACUUUAGAUGGAGCAUGAAUUGAAUAUUGUCAAGGAGUUGGAAAUAUGCAUAUCUCCACGUCCUCUUGAGAAGCAAAGGGCAACAGAAUCCCAAUAACCCUACAAAGAAACCAAGCACAACGGAUAAGCCAAACCAUAGACUUUGAUCCUCAUCAUCAUCCAAAUCCUGGUUGUUCUCAUUCUCAUCUGCAUCAUUGCCAUUACUUGGCAAGCACUGGUUUGAAAGUGGGGCACCGCAAAGUUUCGGAUUCCCUUCGAAUGCAGAGACACUGAAGCCUUGGAGCUGAGUGCCGGCUGGUAUUGGUCCUUCAAGAUUAUUGUAUGCAACAGUAAAUGUAGACAAGAAAUGGAGAUUUGAUAGUGAUGAUGGGAUUUCGCCUGACAGAUGGUUACUGUUGAGUUCUAAUCUCUCCAACUUUGGGAGGUUGGCUAUUUGGUCUGGAAUGUUGCCGGAGAAGUUGUUGAUGCUGAGAUCCAGUUGUUGAAGAAAUUGCAAUUGGCCAAUCUCAAAGGGUAUGCUGCCGCUUAAAC
rnacentral:lncRNA from 1 species